CGUGCCAAGACACCCGCUCCCGAUCCAUGGCGCCACCGCCACCGCCACCUCGUCCAAGGAAAUCGCUGGGAAUGCGUCUUCAUCCUGCCAAUCCAUGGCGCCGCCGCCACCACCGUCCCUCACCCUUCCGACGCCAUCUUCGGCUCCCCCUCCGCCGCGAGAGGAAAUCGCUGGGGAAAUCCCGACACCUGCUCCCCCGCCUCCUCCUCUGCUCCCAGGUAUCCACAGAUCUCACCUUCCCCUCCCCAACAGCCAGCCUCUCCUCCGGGACGAAUCCCUCGGGCCAUGGAUCGACCUAAGCAUGGAUCGACCUAAGCAUCUCAUUGCUGCGAGAUGAACUGCAAAGUGUAGUGCAGAAUUUUUCUGACUAGAAAAGCUUGGCACUGAAUGUCUGAAUCGCAUUGAGAGGCUGUGUGUUCCAAAAAUCCCCCCUCCCCCAUACACCUCCGUCGCCAGAGCCUGUCCGCUCCGCUGCCACCCCUCAUCCCGAGGACUUCCUGCUAGCCGCCGGUGGCAAGAAAGCCCGAGGACCACCACCUGUUCGCGACCAGGCCAUUGUCGCCCCCUCGUCCACUGUUUCGCUGUUGCUACCGCCUCUCUGUCAUCUGCUUCAGCAGCUACAGAUCCACCCCGGCAUCAUGUCUUCAGAGGAGCUCACAACCAGGAUGCUAGAUUUGGCGGUGGCUUCGCAGGCCCCGAUGGCCAGCCAAAUCAGUUCUUACUUCAUACUUCCGAUUUGUUUAGCAUUGAGAGGCUGUGUGCAAAAAGGGUGCUGGACUUACUUCAUACUUCAUACUUCCGAUUUGGCAGACAAAUAGACUGGAACCGUAACCCAGCAAGACUGAAGACUAUAGGAUCAGCUUUGUGGAGCAAGUUUAUAUAUUCUCCAAGUUGCUGUUGCUUCGUCAGGAUGAGCUUAGGAGUUUCACAGUGAAACCAAGUUGAUUCAUGGUGCAAGUUGCUGUUGCUUUGUGGAGCAAGUUGCUGUUGCUUUGUGGAAGUAUACAUCUUAUCCUGUAGUUUAAUAAUUAUCCGAAAGAGUGUAAGUUGCAGAGAUAUGUUUAAUCUGAAGAGAGAUUCGGAGUAUUUUUAUCUGAGAAAUACUAUUUUGUUGCAGUAUAUUUUUAUCUAAGAAAGUAUAUGUUUUUCUGAA